rnacentral:lncRNA from 10 species
CCUGCCUCAGCUUCCGGAGUAGCUGGGACUACAGGCGCCCGCCACCUCGCCCGGCUAAUUGUUUGUAUUUUUAGUAGAGACGGGGUUUCACUGUGUUAGCCAGGAUGGUCUCCAUCUCCUGACCUCGUGAUCCGCCCGCCUCGGCCUCCCAAAGUGCUGGGAUUACAGGCGUGAGCCACCGCGCCUGGCCCCUCCUUUACUUCUUGGCACCUUUAGAAGAUUCUGACUGCUGUUCACUUAAGUGGGAACAGCACUGCGUGCACAAUGCUCACUGUGCAUCUGCCCGUGUUCCGAAUCACAUCCAAUAUGACUUCCUGGCAGCGGGUUGGCGUCUGCGUAUUGUUACUGCAGUGGUUGUCUACCUGAGCCUUGUCUACUGUGAGCUGGAACACCUACCUCCCCCUCUGGAGAGCAGGAAUUGGAGAGGGAAGAGAGAAGCCCCUCCCAUUCGCUUCUACUGGGGCUUGUUAGGCCAUCGCCUUGGGGGCCGGCUGAUCAGCGGCAGCCAGCAGCCGGCGGCUUCGGCAGGCAGGAACAAGGACAGCCUGUGGCUACUGCAGCCCCACUGCCCGGCCAUGCUUCAUGAUGGGGGAGAGUGCCUUGGGAGGAAUAUACAGGCAAAUCAUGUUAGCAUCACAGAGCCCACUUAAUUCCGUAUGGGUUGGUAUUUGGGGAAGAAAUCGAGGACGAAUUGGUGUUGGACCCAAAGCUGGGCAGGGACCAGUGUGCAUGGCAAGGUUUUAAUGCCAGUAAGUUUUUCAGGGUGAUUUUUUUUCUGUCCCUGAGUCAGUGGAAUAGAAUGGAAAUGCCAUGUCUAGCUACUUUAGGGAGCACAGUGUGAAGAAGACAGCCUCCUCUAAGCUAGCACUGUUUGUGUAAUAUGUGGUCCUUAGACAUUAAAAUGAAGCCCUUUGUCACCAACUGUAGAGCCCCCCAAAACACCCUCAUUUGGUGUUUUUGUUCCAUUUUAAACCAUGAAUGGCAUCCGCUCCCUCCAGUACUGAUGUGAGGUUUUUCUGUGUUGGAUCAAAACCAAAUGCUGUUUUAUGUCAACGUAAGGAAGGAAACUAGCAAAUGCAUGAGGUCAAUCUCCAUGGCACACUUCCACCCCAGGGGCUGUACGAGAGGAAAAAAAUGUGCUUCAUGUCCCAACCAAAAGCAUUCUCUGUCUGAGGACUGUUGCCCAAGUGUGAAGUAGGAGACUCGUGCAAUUCAAAGGCACCUAUGUGAUGCCCAUGUGGAGCCCUUUUCUUAGCCAGGCACGACAGGUAUGGAGCCGGCUCUGGGAAGUGGGAUCUAGAAUGACAACCCUUGGCACAGGGCUAAGGAGCUUUAGGAGUGAUGAAAUCUCAUUGUACCACUGCAAACAGAAGCUGCAUCCCUGCCUGGGAAGGAUUAGGUCGCCUCCUAGGCAGGAGCAAACAUUUGGUGGAAAGGACUAGGAGGUUGGCUGCUUGCUCUUCUCUUUCAGCAGUGACAUCUCCACCCUGCCUGUCCCACCUCUCCAGAAAGGUAGGUCUGGGUACUAAAGCUCAAGUGGACUAGAGGCUCCCAAAGCUUCUCCCCAUGCCAUCUCCCCAUUGGCUGCUGGGUUCAGUGGUGGCCGCCCCUUGGGUACCAGGGGCUCCUGGUUCUACAAUGAGAAGCUGCAGGUUACAGCUGUAAGUUUUGUCCUCAUGUUAACCCCCUUAUGCUGUCUCCUCCAAUAAUGCAUGUGGUUUGGUCUCUACAGGACUCCCAGAGGCCUAUGGACUGGAGCUAUUAACAUCCUGCAGAUGGGAGCCACUCUCUCACUGUGAUCACCAAGGUACCCAGGGCCUCCGGAGGCCACAAAGAAUGGAUAAUUGCAACCCACAGGUCUCCUUCAGAUUUUCCCCAAGCCCUUCUGGUCAGCAAAUGCUCUAUGGCAAGUCUGGGGUUUGGUCUUUACUUCUGGUGCCAAUUAAUUUCAUCUCCCUUUUCUCUUUGGUCCGUGGAAUUACUCUGCACUCUUUGCAAUGAUGUUUAGUAAUUUUCAUCGACUGUGGAGCAGCCUGCUGGGACCCUGCCAGCUGAUCUUAACAAGCCCACUUACUGCAGGAUUCCCACUGCUUUCCUGGGCUAGGAAUUCCUUAACCAAAGCCCCCUGGCUGAGAGAAAACCCCGAAGCAGUUAAGAUACCAGGAAAGGAAGACUUGAAAAUUGGUUAGUGAAGAUUCUGAGUAUUUCCUGGUGCGUCUGGGAAUUUUGUUUGUUUUUUGUGGUGAUAUUUCUUUCUCUCUGUAUGUCUCUGUCUCUCUGUCUCUAUCUGCAUCUCUGCCCUUGUUAGAAGGGACUAAUUAGAAUGGCACAAACACGUUAGAAUUGGAGAUCAUUGUUGCAAAGGCCCUUAGGAAGAGGGGGGCAGUUUUGGUCCAUUCUGAAGGCUAUCAAGGCGGUUUCCAGCUUGCUCUUGGCACGAAAAGGAAUAACCAGGGCCAUUUUAAUGCCAUGGGCAGGGAAAGCAUGAUGCAAAGCUUUUGGAGGGGCCACCGGGUAACAACAGGAGAGCACCAGAACUCACGGAGAGAGCAGAGGUUGAGGAAGCCUGGCGCCCCAGCGACAAAGCAGUGUCCCCGACAAAAGAAAGAUUCAAUCUUGGAAACAGAAACAUGAAGUGAAUGUUUAAUACCAUGGUCCAAGAAGAUGGCAUUUUCUGUGACUGGAACAAUGCAGAAUUAAUGUGUAUCUGCAAGAAAUAUCAUUAAGAUUAAGUAUUCUUCAGAGAGAUUGGAGAAUCGGGGAAUUCAAGUGCGUUUGUUGGCUUGAGCCAGCCCUCCGCUACCUGACCCAUCUGCAGGCAGAAAGGGCAUCCACCAAGUGAGUCUUUCUCAGUAGAGGAGGCAGUGUGCUGUUAUAUGCUGAUGCAGCUCCUUGUCUUGGACUCAUAACUGACAGAACAGCAUGUGGACCUCACCGCUCCUUGGACUUCGAGUGGCGCUACUCUAACGCUGAGUCCUGACCUGGAUCCCUGUUUGCUUGCCUAGACCUAAGGCGGUGGUGCAGACCUUCCCCCACCCCACAUACCAUCGCCUUCUGGAAUGUGGCUUUGUGGAACUGAGGCUGAGACAAUCACAGUGCCCCAUUCUUCUGGUCAUGUGACAGGUCUGGACCUGGUCAUGUGGCAAAGUCGAAUCUAAGUCACAUCAAAGCAGGGAGAGUUAAAGCAAAUCUUUUCUCUCUUGUUGUGGAGCUGGAAUAUGAGCCCAGAAGCUUCCAGAACACAUGGUCCUGCCCUCAUAAAGAAGCUCAAGUGAGGGAACAAAAUCGACUUAGGUAGCAGCGAGCAUGGAUGGGGCCUGGCUACAUCAAGUUCUCAGAUCCUGUUGUCCCCACCCACCCCCUGUAACUUGCCAAUUUUAUCCAUCAAGCAUCCUCUCCUCUCUCCCAACUUGUCUGAGUUCUGUUUCUGUCAUUGUCACCAAGAGAGCUUUGAUGAGUAAGAAAUCCCAACAUUCCACGGGAGUCUUGGUGGUUUAAAUUUUUAAGUGAGUCCUCACUUGUUAAAGUCUUAUUCCUGUUAGAGGGCACUUCCAUAGUCCAGAAGGUGGGGAAUUCCUAUAGGUGACCUGUGGUCUCUCUAAGCAAUUUGACCAGGACUAUUUAAUAAAAUAUUUUAAAAAUGGUUCCUUUUAAUUAUUCAUUUUCAAAUGUAUAUUUGUUCUUGGCAAACAAGAGAUGAUUUGCGUUAAUCAGUGAUCUUUAAGCAAAUUCCUUGCAAUACUUUAUCUCCAUAUAAACUCGAAGCUUCUUAAAUGAAAUAGUACCUGUGUAUUUCAUAUGGCUUCCUCUUUUAUAAAUAAAAUGAAUGGACUUGGGACCAAAACAGAAUUUUUUUUUUCGGGAACUAUAGGACUGGAAUCUUUUUAUCCAAGGCAGUUGGAUCCCACAGUACAUUUUCACUGUAACAGACAAUGAGGUUGAGUCAAUAAAUAAAUAAAUAAAGUCACCAACAUGUCCAAAAGCCUCCAUUUAAAACUCAAAGCCAGUGGUUUUGGGUUUCACCUUUUCCUUUAAAAUUAAAUUCCCUGAAACCAUAUUUUAAAAAUGCUAUCUGAAUGGGAACCGCCAAACUGGGAAACUUUAAGUUUAAAAAUAGAACUGCAUCUGAAUUAUCUUAUAGAAAUUUGUCUUCUAACCAGCCAUCAGUAACUGUAAGCAUGCUUCAUAGAUCUACAUAUUUCAGCACUUUUUACAUUCUGAAAGAAUCUUGCUUAGAUACGAAGGUUAACUGGACACCUUUUUCUGCAUUCACCUUUAAUACUGGAUGCCCCCUUUAUCUGCACUCCCAAGCUGGGAAGCCCCAGAGUGGGCUCUUGGCCCCUUGCGGCCAACUGAAGUUCUCCAUCUCUGCAGCCUCCGUGAUCACCUUAAGAAUAGGCUCGCGACCUCCUUUGGGCCACACAGAGUCCUUCUCAGGGCUUGCGCUGGAGCUCUCAGGAGGGAUGCUCGCUUUCUCACUGAUCAGGAACUCUAAGGACCAAAGCCUGGAGUGAGGAUGUGAUCUGCUUGCAAGCGAAGGAGGCAGGAGGCAGCCGGACUCGAGGGCACACAUGACCUGGCAGGGCUGAACCUCAGGCUCCGGUGAGGCUGGCUCCUGACUGCCCCUCUGGACUUUCUCAGUUAUUUCAGGCCAUGGAUUAUCUUUAGUGCUUAAGCUAGUUUGAGUUGUGUUUCUGCCACUCAUAAUUCAGAGAAUCCUGGUGGCUUCAGUGUGAUCAGGAAGACAUUGGGAGCCAUUUUAGUUUUUACUUAACUUUUCCAAACUUGCUAGACAGGCUGAUUAUGGGUCUGUGCUAGUCUGGGAACCUGUGUUUGCUCUCUUAAGCCAUGGGUCUUAGACUCAUUUCCUGUUGCAAACAGGAUGCACUGCACAUUUUUACUGUGUUUUUGCUGCCCAUAAGUGGGAGGCAGAUUCGAAUGAUAGAAUUGGAAAGGUUCCAAAAGCACCAGCCAUGGUAGGGACCCUGAAGAUUGCAAGAUAAACAAAAGCAUUCAGAACUUGUGAUGGGAGUGUGAGAGGAUUGAGCGUUGAAGUCAGCCUAACAGAGGCUGUCGUUUACCCGGUGAAAUCCUCAAGUUACAAACAGCUGCUGUGCAAUUGGAAGUCACAGUCUUCAGUUAGGCUUGAUUUGUCAUUUGGUUUAUAAAUAAGCUUUCAUUUUGUCUUUUUUUUUUUUUUUUUUUGGUCUGGCAAUGUGGUAUCUCUUCCUUGCAGGAUUUGGGAAGCUGGGAAUAUGUGUGACCCACACUACCUGAGGGUGAUAGACUUUGACAGUGUCUCCAGCAUUUUCAUGUUGAAAUCUGCUUUAUCCUAAUUUCCAGUCUUGGUCUUGUCUGUCACAGGCUGGGGAGAAGAGCACCGUCCAGAGAAGGACCCAAUAAGGGACAUUUCCACCUUGCUUAGUGGGUUGAGGGCUGGGCUUUGGGUUUGAGAUGUGAAGAGAAAGAAGCUACGUGGAAGAGAAAGGAUGGAGGUACAAGGACGCCCUCCAGCCGGCUACACUUCUGAAACUAAAACAUACAAAACUCAGUGGCUUUUCCUCAACUCCUAUGAUGGAUGUGCAAGGACGCCCUCCAGCUGGCUGCAUUUCUGAUGCUAAAAAUACAAAACUCAGCAGCUUUGCCCAUACUCCUAUGAUGCCUG